rnacentral:lncRNA from 12 species
AUAAUAGAGUAAGGAAGUCCUCCCUUGGUCUGAGUUUUUCCAUUAUGACUCUAAAAUGAUUUUUUUGAAAUGAAUAAUUCUUCCCAAACUUCUCAUUUGGGUGUGUCCUGCUUUGGUGGUGCCAAGGCCUAGACCGGGCCUGGCCCGUCCUGGCUGGUGCCCCUCCCCCCCGGGACUGCAGCGCGGAGCCGGUCACAGGACCUCAGAGGCGGGAGGAUGUGGGCGGGGGGACGGCCAGCGAGCUCCAAGGUGACGCGGCCACUGAGCGGCUUGGCCGUCCCUUCAGAUCCCACGGUCGGGUCUCCCCUGAGUAAAGGGCUGGGCAGCUUCACUGAGGGCCGUGGGGUGGGGGUGCGAGCAAAAUGGUUGAAGAAAUGGGACAUUUAUCCUGGCAGCUGGCAGACGCUGGGGACAGGUGCACUGGCUUUUCAUUGCAGAAGAGGUGUCCGGGGAGCCAGCGGGUCACCCGUGCGGCGCCCCCACCCCUGCGCACACCUGUCCUUGUGCCUGCUGCGGACCCCUGGCCGGACGAGGCUCCUGAUCCAGUUUCUCUUUUGUAAGUCUUUCCUGAUCGGCCUUUCUCCGGAUCCCAGGGACCAUGGGCCCCGAGUGGAGGUUUUUGUUGCAAAGCCCUGGCUUAGCGUAGAGAACACUGUACUUUGAGCCAAAAACCUAAAUUUGAGUCCCGGCUCUGCUGCCUUUGAGUCGCGUGCCUGUCAGGGCUGCCAUAGACAGCUGCACAGGCUGUGCACUACCUUGCUGUUUGCAGUGGGGUCCAGAGACCAGCAGCAUCUAUAUCAUUUGGGAGCUGGUUUAAAAUACAGAAUUUGGGCCCCAUCUCAGACGGGCUGAAUCAAAAUCUGUUUUAGCAAGAUCCGCAGGUGAUUCAAACACGAAAGCUGGAGAUUCGCUGAUGUGUAAGGAUGCCACGGAGCCCCACUCACACAGGCCAUGGCGUGACCGGCACUCCCAGGACCGUGACCACCGGCCCUGCUCAGGCGACUCCUCUUUGGUGUCCUCUCCUGGCCUCCAAAUGGUGACAAGGAUGUCUGGUGCCCGAGUGGGCCUGGCUCAGGCUGGCACGGCCGCGUCUCCUGGCACGUGAGGCGCACUGACGGCUUUUAGGAGAAACAGGAUCCUUAUGUUUGGGAGCUAAAAAGGAUUUCGGGGAAUUCUCUGUUCUCGCAGAUGUCCAAUUUUCACCCUAUUUUCUAGACGAUGACGCGGAUGAAGGAGAGGUGGAAUAGUGGAAUGGAGGGUAGACGAGGGUGCCGGGACUGGAGCCGGGGCCUGUGCGCCCGCUGCCCCCAGCUACACCCCGCCUCCCAGCAUCGAUGCCCAGGCCACUACCCUGUCUUCAGCACCUCCUGGAGAUACACUAGAGGGAACUUAGAUAAAAUCUGCAUCUUCUGGGGAUCACUGGGUGGCUCAGUGGUUUGACGCCUGCCUUUGGCCCAGGGCGUGACCCUGGAGUCCCAGGAUCGAGUCCCACGUCGGGCUCCCGGUGCAUGGAGCCUGCUUCUCCCUCUGCCUGUGUCUCUGCCUCUCUCUCUCUCUCUCUCUAUGUCUAUCAUAAAUAAAUAAAUAAAUCUUUUUUUUUAAAAUCUGCA